AACGUAGGAGACAAACGUUAUCCGGAGUUACUGGGCGUAAAGGGCGUGUAGGCGGUCUGUUAAGUCUGGCGUGAAAGCUCUCGGCUAAACCGGGAGAGGUCGUUGGAUACUGGCAGACUAGAGGACGGUAGAGGCGUGUGGAAUUCCGGGUGUAGUGGUGAAAUGCGUAGAGAUCCGGAGGAACACCAGUGGCGAAGGCGACACGCUGGGCCGUACCUGACGCUAAGCGCGACAGCAUGGGGAGCAAACGGG
rnacentral:rRNA from 1 species